GACCAAAAUUUAUCGGAAGGUAAUUGGUCCGAUGAUGGUUUUCAAAGUUAUCUGAAAAGCUAAUCCAAUAAUGAAAACAUCAGCUUCGAUAAUUAGCGGUUAGCGAAUUAGCUGAACUGCGCCCACCACUGAUAACAUGGCAAAAGCA